UUUUUUGCCUUUUGAAUUCCCUUUACGGCUUUACCCACAUAGUCUUUAGGAAAAUAAAAUAACUUCUUCCUAAAAACCCUAAACCCACGAUCUCAUCUUCAAUUGUAUUUCCUUUCAAAAAAAUCUUCAAUUUGAUUUAAUUUGUAAACACAAGAAUCCUCAUACAAAAACAUCCCUUCAACUUCGAUUCACAAGAACCCUUCACAGAGCUCAAGCGAUUCACCACCACCGACGAAGGGCCGACACGUUCUCCUUCCCGAUUGCUUCUCCAUCUUCCUAAUUUCUUCUAUUUUUGUGGUUUGAUUGGAACUUCCACCGCUACCGUAACCCCCACCACGUACAACCACCGUCUCUGCCGCCAGUUCUUCAGCUCUUAUAAGUUUAGGUAAUACCUCUUCUCACCCUUUUUCCCUAAUUAUAUUUUUACCAUUUCUCUCCUAAUUUAUAUUUGAGUUAUUAUUUGGUUGAAAUUUCAUCUGGGGCUACAUUGUUAUUUGCAACUAAUUGAACGGAGGUAGUAUAAUAUUUAGUUGCAAUUAAUUGAAUUAUUGCGUAGAGAUGUUAAACACGAAGUAUAAAAUUACAUCUGGAAGCCUUGGUUGAUGCUAUGGAUGCUUUGAACUCCAAAAACAAACGAGAUGGAACUGCUGCUCUGACAUUGCGAAUACUCGUUCCUUUAGGUUUGUGCCAAAGGUAUUAUGCCUUGAUCCCAGAGUUUUCUGUGUUUACAUAGGAGAUAUUUGAUACUUCUGUUUGAAAUAUGCACCUGUAGGAUACAAGUGAAGUUGUAGUAAUGGGUUAAUUGGCAUUUUUUCGGAUUUUGUGAUAGCAACUGUUGUAAAACUGAAGAGGGAAAUUUAAAUAUGUAUAAAAGAAGAAGCCAAUGACUUGUAGAUUCAUGAGACUGUACUAGAAGUUGGAAAAAGUUUUCUUGUGCUGUUAACUGUUAUAUACUUCUAUAAAACAUGUUUAUUUUCUGAUACCAACCUUUUGUUGACUUAUUCAUGAAGUUUCUUUGUUCUGUUCCUGCAUAUAUCAGCAACAAUCCAGCAGAAACUGAUUCCGAAAUAGUGAAAUAACAACAGAAUAUUUGAGGCAAUAAUUGAAAAAUCCUUUAGGAAAACUUGUUUCUUUCUGCCCUCCUGACUGCAUUGUAAGAGAUAGAGUAGUAGUUUUAUAGAAGUCCUGGUAAAGCUUACUGUGUGAUUUUUGUAUGUGAUUCUAGCAAUGGUCUCACUAUUUCCUUCCCUUUCUUCUACAAUGUAGCUGCUUUGCAGGCUUCGGGAGCAAGUGCUUCGGGAACUAGGGUUCAGAGAUUUAUUUUUGAAAAGUUAAGCUUCAAUACGUUCAUCUUGCAGUGACCGAUGUUGCAGUGAUGACUAAGUGUUUGAUGUGUUUUGUGAUUUGCUGGCCGCCAACACGGAGAAUGUAAAGUACUUCUGAUGUACAGAAACAUUCUUCAAGAUUUUGCAAGACACAAUAAUUAGUGUCUUUGGCAUCUUACUCUGCGUAUUACCAGACAUGUGAAAGUGACAGGUUUGGGGAUAUGCCCUCAUUCGCACCACCAGUCAGUGAGUCAGCUCAAAACCAACUGCCUCUUCAGAUGAAAGGAGGCUGAAGAUUCUAGAAAUGGGUGGAGCUAAGAUGACCGAACACGGAAAGAAGCACUUAAAGCUCUUCUGCACUUUCGGUUUCAGUACUUUCCUCAAGUUCCUGCCAUUUAUUCUCAAGCGAUGAUUGACGAGACACGGCAUACUUUGGUUACAUAUUUUUUCAAGCACGAUGAAGAAAAUGAUCUGUUGGACGUUGAUCAUGAAUGACCUUUGUAGCUAGUACAUAUUGAAACUUUCCAACAAAUGUUUUGGGAAUCUCGUAGCAAGUUAAUACAUUUGAAGUACUUUUUUAGAUUUGAACUUGUGAUUAGAGUUUGGAGAAUGUUAUAUUACAUUAGUUUUAUUUACUUUAUUGUUUUGGAGAACAAGAAGUUGGUACAUUGGUCGGUUUGGAGAAUUUUUAUGCAUAUAAUAUAGAGUUGAUGGAUUAUUAAUGACCA